AAAACGAGACGGAAACGAGACGCCUACGUAAGCAGUCUGAUCACGCCACUGACUGACACUGCAGGAAGCUUCUGGGUGUGUUCGCAAGCUAUCUUCAAACUACUGCAUUUUCAAGCGUUUAAACUUCAAUUUUAUAUCAUAAUGUAUCAAAUCUUUGAAUCAAAGUCAUAGUCAUUCGUUUAUUGUGUAAAAUCACGAGUUUUGUGAUGUUUAUAAGUUGAAAGACGCUGACUUCAGCCCGCUUCAGUCACGCGAAGCUGAGAAGCAGAGUUUCAUUUCUCGCUAAACCUGGCUUUACACUGAAGUUUUACAAGAACAAGGUGAUAACACAAAAACGUGCUGGUUGAUAUCAGAAGAUUGUUAAAGAAUGGAUGACGAAGAACGGAAUUACUSCAUUCUUGUGCUACUUCUUACCAGGGUAGGCCUGGAGAAGAUGCGCAGCUUUUUCAUAAAAGAAUGGAAUUCAGCUGGCGGUUUUGUCCCAUGGACUGAC